ensembl:lncRNA
CAUGGGGGUUAGUGAUUAAUGACAAAAUUUUCAUUUUGGGGAGGAGUAUCCCUUUAAUGAUCAGCUUGGACCAGAUAGCAUAUAAACCCACCAACAACAAGAUCUGGUUUUCCAGCAGAGAGGGGGCAAAGUGGUGAUACAAAUAAAGACAACACAGAAAGUCAAAAUCUGAAACGCAAUAAAAAUGUUCUUCUCAGCAAUAGGAUCCAGAAGUGUACCUUACUGAAUCAGAACUACCUGCAGGAUUUACAUUCUAAUAUUGAACAGAAAUAAUAAACCCGAGUAGAGAUGUGUAGCUUGUGCAGAUGUAUGUUAGAGUGAAGGAGAUUUGAGGAUAUUUGCAGCAAUGAUUUCCAUGUGUGCAAUGUAUAACCAAGGAGCAUCAAAUCUCACCUCCAGCUGCUUGAAGUAAUUAAAUUGUAUAAUUUAAACACGGAGAGAGAGAAUUAGGAAAAUAGUUCAACACUGGCAUGGCAUGAGGGUACAACUAAGGAAAAAAUGGAUUAAACAACAGUUUAAGUACAAAACAUACAGAUGAUUCAUUUUCUGUCAGAAGUGGUGUCAUCUAGCAUGAAACAAAUGUCAUUGUAAUGCGAGGGAGUGUAGUGUGGGUAUUCAAUGAUUAAUAUUUCGACACUCAAAUAUUUAACUGUAUUUAAGCACAAAAAUGACUAAGAAAGAAAGAAGAGUGAAACCUAAUUUAAGCAAUUGUUGAAGCAAAUAUAUGUCUUUACGAUUGUAAAAUAUUCAAAUGCUGUUUUAUAACAAAUCUUGCUGUUGAGCUACGGGUAGCCUGCUGUCUGUCAUCGGAAGAGAAUCAUAACACAUAACCAUGGUGACACAUGUAACCACGGAAACAGUCUAUCUAUAUUUACUGGACGUAUAGGCCUAUCUAUAGAUUUGUUUCUCUGCUGUUCCACUGUUGCACCACCAUGCACCUUAAAAUUACACACAUUUAUUGUGCAACAAUAUUUUAUUAAUUAACAAUAAAUGCAAUUGGAUAAUAAUGUAAAUUCAAAAUUCAGACUUAAAAAUUCCAUUGAAUACAAAACAAAUGUCAAUUGACGAUCAACAUUUCAUCUUUAAACAACAUAAGAAUUAUGGAUUGCAAUUUUAAAGAUUAAGAAUUAAUUAAGUAUAGGCUGCAUACUCUGUUCCUAUGUCCAGUGGGAGGGAGAGGAAGUCCACACGCCCCAGUAUCACCGGUCAACGUCUGUGCUUUGUGUUCCACCACAGGGAAUGUCUCUAAUUGCUCUCUCUCUCUUUUAGUACAUAAUAACUAUGGGAGCUAGAAGCAUGUGUGCCCUAUAGGUUCAAGCCUAAAAGCUUUGAGAAUACUUGUCACAUACAAAGGUCAAAGAGAUCAUGUACAUCUGCCUCUUCUGAGAAGGCUGGUAAUUAAUGCCAAAUAUAACAUAAAGCCAGGAGGGGAACAUGGAACCGCGGAUUCAGCAUUUACACGUCUACUCGAGCACUCCUUACGUAAUCCAUCAAAAUGGCAACAAUGUAGGGAUUUCAAAUCUAGUUCUGAGUACUCAUGGUUUGACAUUAUUGUUUUAAAUCUACUUAAUGUGAAUCCAAUAUUGAGCCCAAGACUUUUGGAAAGACAGAACGAUCAACAUGCACAUCACAGAAAAACAGCACACUAUGACGCAGACAAGAUUUCUUCUCAGCAAAAGAAUCCAGAAGUGCACCUUAAUCAAUCAGAACUGCACAUCAGGGGAUUUACAUUCUAAAAUGAAACAGGAAAAGUAUUAAACCUGAGUAAUUAUGUCACUUUGUGUAGCUGGAAAACGGUGCAUUUCACAACCAGUGAUCUGUAUCAAAUCUCACCGUUAACUGCAUGAAGUCUUAAAUUAUGAAGUAUUAAAUUAUGGGAUUCCUGUACUGUGUGUGUAUACUGUAUGUGUGUGUUGUGUGACGUUUAUUGACAUGCUACUGAUACAGAAACCAAAUUCUCCAUUUCAUGACCCUCCCUCUUUGCUUUACACACAGCACAAACACAAAACAUGCUUAUUUUUUCCUUUCACAAUAGAGACCUCAUAUAGGCUAGGUUAUAAUAUUUCCACUGGCAUAUUUUGCUCUAAAUAUG